AAGUCGUAACAAGGUAUCCGUAGGUGAACCUGCGGAUGGAUCAUUACCAAUUUCCCUGUUUGAUAACUGCUGUAACAGGGGAGUUAUUCAAUCAAACACUUGUCAACUUGGUUGAGCCUUUUAUAACUUAUCUUUCCAUUGUGGGGUGACCGUGUAUAACUGACUUGUCAGCUUACAUCUUGAACCCCACAGUGAGACAAAAAAUACUACAUCUGUAGACAUACUACUCCAACAAAAUAUCAUAUCUCUAUAGGAUUAUAAACAACGACUGAGUGUGUAACAGCCUCGGUUAUUAACAAACAAAAAAAUACAA
rnacentral:misc_RNA from 1 species